rnacentral:rRNA from 1 species
ACGGAGGGUGCGAGCGUUAAUCGGAAUUACUGGGCGUAAAGCGCACGUAGGCGGUCAUGUAAGUGGGAUGUGAAACCCCCGGGCUUAACCUGGGACUUGCAUACCAGACUGCAUGGCUAGAGUAUGAGAGAGGGUGGUGGAAUUUCCGGUGUAGCGGUGAAAUGCGUAGAGAUCGGAAGGAACAUCAGUGGCGAAGGCGGCCACCUGGCUUAAUACUGACGCUGAGGUGCGAAAGCGUGGGGAUCAAACAGGA